CCUACGGGGGGCAGCAGUGAGGAAUAUUGGUCAAUGGACGAGAGUCUGAACCAGCCAAGUAGCGUGAAGGAUGACUGCCCUAUGGGUUGUAAACUUCUUUUAUAUGGGAAUAAAAUGUUCCACGUGUGGGCUUUUGUAUGUACUAUAUGAAUAAGCAUCGGCUAACUCCGUGCCAGCAGCCGCGGUAAUACGGAGGAUCCGAGCGUUAUCCGGAUUUAUUGGGUUUAAAGGGAGCGUAGGUGGUUUGUUAAGUCAGUUGUGAAAGUUUGCGGGUCAAACGUAAUAUUGCAGUUGAAACUGGCAGUCUUGAGUACAGUAGAGGUGAGCGGAAUUCGUGGUGUAGCGGUGAAAUGCUUAGAUAUCACGAAGAACUCCGAUUGCGAAGGCAGCUCACUGGACUGCAACUGACACUGAGGCUCGAAAGUGUGGGUAUCAAACAGGAUUAGAUACCCUUGUAGUC
rnacentral:rRNA from 1 species